rnacentral:rRNA from 1 species
GGUGGUCAGGAUGAGAAAUCUAAGGCGGACAGGCUAACUCUCGUUAAGGAACUCUGCAAAAUUGCCCCGUAACUUCGGGAGAAGGGGUGCCCCUGAGUGUGAGCAUACACGCGAUGUUAAGCGCUUGGGGGUCGCAGUGAAGAGGCUCAAGCAACUGUUUAACAAAAACACAGGUCUAUGCUAAGCUGUAAGGCGAUGUAUAUGGGCUGACACCUGCCCAGUGCCGGAAGGUUAAGAGGAGGAGUGAGAGCUCCGAAUUGAAGCCCCGGUGAACGGCGGCCGUAACAAUAACGGUCCUAAGGUAGCGAAAUUCCUUGUCGGGUAAGUU